GUGGGGAAUCUUCCGCAAUGGGCGAAAGCCUGACGGAGCAACGCCGCGUGAGUGAUGACGGCCUUCGGGUUGUAAAGCUCUGUUAUAUGGGACGAACGUGCCUAUGGUCAAUACCCAUAGGCAGUGACGGUACCGUAAGAGAAAGCCACGGCUAACUACGUGCCAGCAGCCGCGGUAAUACGUAGGUGGCAAGCGUUGUCCGGAAUUAUUGGGCGUAAAGGGCGCGCAGGCGGCCUGUCAAGUCUGUCUUAAAAGUGCGGGGCUCAACACCGUGAGGGGACGGAAACUGACAGGCUGGAGUGUCGGAGAGGAAAGCAGAAUUCCUAGUGUAGCGGUGAAAUGCGUAGAUAUUAGGAGGAAUACCAGUGGCGAAAGCGGCUUUCUGGACGACAACUGACGCUGAGGCGCGAAAGCCAGGGGAGCGAACGGGAUUAGAAACCCUGGUAGUCC
rnacentral:rRNA from 1 species